rnacentral:rRNA from 1 species
AUUGAACGCUGGCGGCAGGCUUAACACAUGCAAGUCGAGCGAGCGGCGGACGGGUGAGUAAUGUCUGGGAAACUGCCUGAUGGAGGGGGAUAACUACUGGAAACGGUAGCUAAUACCGCAUACCAUCAGAUGUGCCCAGAUGGGAUUGGCUAGUAGGUGGGUUAACGGCUCACCUAGGCGACGCUCCCUAGCUGGUCUGAGAGGAUGACCAGCCACGCGGGAACUGAGACACGGUCCGGGAUCCUACGGGAGGCAGCAGUGGGGAAUAUUGGACAAUGGGAGCAAGCCUGAUGCAGACAUGCCGCGGGUGUGAAGAAGGCCUUCAGGUUGUAAAGCACUUUCAGCGAGGAGGCGUUACUCGCAGAAGAAGCACCGGCUAACUCCGUGCCAGCCGCCGCGGUAAUUC